ACCAGCUCAAGAUUGACUCAGCCUUCCAUCCUUCCGAGCUGCUGCCCGUUGUUUUAUAUUCAAAGCUUGAAUGGAUUGUCUCUCUGGAAGGAACAUUUCAGCAAGGUAUGGAUUUGCACCCGCUAUCUUGAAUGAACCUUGCAGAGGUUGAAGUCGGAUUCGAUACUAAUAAUAAUAAUCAGGAGCAGAUGAAAUGCUUCCUCCAACAGGGAAGGAACCAGCUAUUCGCCUGCCUGCAGCAUUACUUGCUGUCUUUGAAUCAACCUGAAGAAUUGAUGAAUUGCCAGAUGACUGGAAAUGUUGUCCUUACUUCAAACAUGGGAGGAAAGAACAUCCAACCAGCUACAGAUCAGCCUGUGACAUCCAUACCUGGAAAAGUUCUAGUGUGAAUUAUAAAGAGAUUAAUUCAAAGAUAAAGGGAUAAAGAGAUUAACUUCUGUAACAGCCUGUUUGAAUACUGCAAACGUAACUUGAUUGUACCAUUUGUUGAAAGGAUUCUUAUAUCUUUCCUUUUAUUAGCAAAUGCCCAGCAGGCAAAGUUCUCUCCAACAGGACAUCCUGUUUGUCUUCGGGGUGAAUCAGAAAGGGACAUAGAAGCAGUUUAAAACCUGAGAAAUUCCAGUGCAUAUGUGAAAGUUUUGAUUAAUGUCUGCAUCUCAGAUUGCAAUUAAAGCACAGGAGGAAGCUAGUCAACAAACACAUGAUAUUGUAAGUGAAUAUAACCUCAAUGUUCUCUUCAGGUUUGGGGGGAAUGUAACAUUGGAAUAAUGAAUACUUGCAAACACAGACACAUGAAGAGAUUUAGUCAAUGUGUCAGUCCUUCCAGCUUCUGUCUUGCAGCUUCUCCUGUAUCCUUAACACCAGGCCAUGAAAGUGCCAGAGUGUAAAAAUGCAAAGAAAGCUUCAUUUUUUUGUACUUGAUGGAAAUUCAUCAGAGGCUAGGCCACUGCUAGAACAUGGUUAUUUUUUUAAGCAAAUAAAAGAACUUAAUCUCUCUCUUAUCUAGACUAUUCCAAAGUAUUCACUAUUAAAUAUCCACCACUUCUAGUGGCCACUGUAACUUAGCCUAGCCAUUUAUGGUGUUUGAAUCUGAUCUACUUUUAGGAGACUGUUUAUGACUAAACUGGUUCUCAAAGGGGAAACAAAACAAGUCUUAACUUUGGAUCUAAUGAUUAGGUCAGCCCCUCUGUCCCAUUCUGCCUUUAUGCUAGAAUCCACUAAAGCAAUCAGGAGAUAAGAACAGAGACUGCCUGAACUGAUAAAACUAAUCUGAUAGCAUAACAAUGGCCUCGCCUCUAAAAUAUAUUAAGUCAGAGGAAGAGAAUAAGAAAAGAACCAUAACCAGGGACAAUUGUAGUAACUCGUGCUUAGUUAUCUCCAGGAAUCCUGCAUACAUUCUCCAUGUUUUAUUAAGUAUCACAGAUAUCAAUCCUGUUAACAUUUAAAAAACAUUUUUAUAACACACUAAACAUUGCUGUCAGUGCGUAAAUAUGACAUAUUUAAAAACAAACAACCUUGUGUAAAGCUAUGCAAACAAAGGUAGAAUUGUAAAUGAGAACCAGUAAGGUAGGGGUGUGUGUGUGUGUGUGUGUGUGUGUGUGUGUGUGUGUGUAUUAAGUGUUA